AUUGAACGCUGGCGGCAGGCCUAACACAUGCAAGUCGAACGAGUGGCGGACGGGUGAGUAAUGUCUUGGAAACUGCCUGAUGGAGGGGGAUAACUACUGGAAACGGUAGCUAAUACCGCAUACCAUCGGAUGUGCCCAAGUGGGAUUAGCUAGUAGGUGGGGUAAAGGCUCACCAGGGCGACGAUCCCUAGCUGGUCUGAGAGGAUGACCGGCCACACUGGAACUGAGACACGGUCCAGACGCCUACGGGAGGCAGCAGUGGGGAAUAUUGGACAAUGGGCGAAAGCCUGAUGCAGCCAUGCCGCGUGUAUGAAGAAGGCCUUCGGGUUGUAAAGUACUUUCAGUGGGGAGGCGGUACCCGCAGAAGAAGCGCCGGCUAACUACGUGCCAGCAGCCGCGGUAAUAC
rnacentral:rRNA from 1 species